GUUGGCGGGAGUCCGGUUGCCACGACCCUGGAAGCUGGCAGCGUGGGCAGGACCGCAGGGGGCCCCGGCUUCACCAGUCCUGGGCGCGUAGCAGGGGGAACCGGCAGCCCGACCGCAAGUGCCAGAGGAGGGACCCCAGGAGGUUCCGAGGGCUUGACAGCAGCACCCGGCAGUGAGAGCACACGUGGAGACUCCGGCGCCCCAGGCACGACCUCGGCAGGCAGAGCAGGAACCACUCUAGGUCCUCGGAGUGAACCUUCUGGGACAGGUGUUGGCGGGAGUCCGGUUGCCACGACCCUGGAAGCUGGCAGCGUGGGCAGGACCGCAGGGGGCCCCGGCUUCACCAGUCCUGGGCGCGUAGC
rnacentral:lncRNA from 1 species